AGCGAACGCUGGCGGCAGGCUUAACACAUGCAAGUCGAACGGGCACUUCGGUGCUAGUGGCAGACGGGUGAGUAACACGUGGGAACGUACCUUUCGGUUCGGAAUAAUCCAGGGAAACUUGGACUAAUACCGGAUACGCCCUUCGGGGGAAAGAUUCAUCGCCGAUAGAUCGGCCCGCGUCUGAUUAGCUAGUUGGUGAGGUAAUGGCUCACCAAGGCGACGAUCAGUAGCUGGUCUGAGAGGAUGAUAAGCCACAUUGGGACUGAGACACGGCCCAAACUCCUACGGGAGGCAGCAGUGGGGAAUAUUGGACAAUGAGCGCAAGCCUGAUCCAGCCAUGCCGCGUGAGUGAUGAAGGCCUUAGGGUUGUAAAGCUCUUUUGUCCGGGAAGAUAAUGACUGUACCGGAAGAAUAAGCCCCGGCUAACUUCGUG
rnacentral:rRNA from 1 species